rnacentral:rRNA from 1 species
GGAAUAUUGCACAAUGGGGGAAACCCUGAUGCAGCGACGCCGCGUGAGUGAAGAAGUAAUUCGUUACGUAAAGCCCUAUCAGCAGGGAAGAAAAUGACGGUACCUGAGUAAGAAGCCCCGGCUAACUACGUGCCAGCCACCGCGGUACUACGUAGGGGGCAAGCGUUAUCCGGAUUUACUGGGUGUAAAGGGAGCGUAGAUGGUGCGCCAAGUCUGGAGUGAAAUGCCGCAGCUUAACUGCGGAACUGCUUUGGAAACUGGCGAACUAGAGUGCGGGAGGGGUAAGCGGAAUUCCUAGUGUAGCGGUGAAAUGCGUAGAUAUUAGGAGGAACACCGGUGGCGAAGGCGGCUUACUGGACCGUAACUGACGUUGAGGCUCGAAAGCGUGGGGAGCAA